AGCUGAGGAACGGUCAGGUGGCAGCGCCCUCCAGUGGACACAAGGAGAAUAGCCUCCAGGUGGAUAUCAAAGAUCUCCCGCGGUGCUAUUGGAAAGGAGAAGGGAGUUUCUCUCUCUCUCUCCCCGGUGUCCUGGCCAACAAUCCCCCAGUAUUUCCUUGCCACCUUCUGUGAGGUGGUUUUGAAGUGUUCUGACUGCAAUCGGAGAGAGAGAGAGAGAGAGGUCAGUGUGAGUGGCUUAUCGGCCAGUACUCACAGUCACUACCCCAACCAGUGCCAUAUGGAGGAGGGUUUAUUACCCCAGGAAACGUGAUCAACU